AACCGCGGUUAUACGGGGGGCCCAAGUUGAUAGGCUUCGGCGCAAAGGGUGGUUAGGGAAACAAGAAUACUAAAGUUGAAGACCCUCAAGGCCGUGAUACGUCAUCUCGAGAGGACGAAGCUCAAUUGCGAAGGUAACUUUAUUAAACCUGAAGCCACGAAAGCUGAGGAA
rnacentral:rRNA from 1 species